rnacentral:rRNA from 1 species
GACGAACGCUGGCGGCGUGCUUAACACAUGCAAGUCGAACGGAAAGGCCCCUUUGGGGGUACUCGAGUGGCGAACGGGUGAGUAACACGUGAGUAACCUGCCCUUGACUUCGGGAUAACUUCAGGAAACUGGGGCUAAUACCGGAUAGGAAUCCUUGCUGCAUGGUGGGGGUUGGAAAGCUUCGGCGGUUUUGGAUGGACUCGCGGCUUAUCAGCUUGUUGGUGGGGUAGUGGCUUACCAAGGCUUUGACGGGUAGCCGGCCUGAGAGGGCGACCGGCCACAUUGGGACUGAGAUACGGCCCAGACUCCUACGGGAGGCAGCAGUGGGGAAUAUUGCACAAUGGGCGGAAGCCUGAUGCAGCAACGCCGCGUGCGGGAUGACGGCCUUCGGGUUGUAGACCGCUUUCAGCAGGGGCGAAGCUUGUGGUGACGGUACCUGCAGAAGAAGCACCGGCUAACUACGUG